rnacentral:rRNA from 1 species
GUAACCUUUUAGGAACUAGCCGUCGAAGGUGGGACAAAUGAUUGGGGUGAAGUCGUAACAAGGUAGCCGUAUCGGAAGGUGCGGCUGGAUCACCUCCUUUCUAAGGA